rnacentral:tRNA from 4 species
CCGUCGAUAGCUCAGUUGGUAGAGCGGUGGACUGUAGAUCCAUAGGUCGCUGGUUCAACUCCGGCUCGACGGA